AACGGAAUCACUACCUACAUUGAUGACAACAACCUUCGCAAAGGUGAUGUUAUUUCACAUGAACUUCUCACAGCAAUUGAAGAGUCUAUGUUUGCAAUCAUUGUUCUCUCACCAAACUAUGCUUCCUCCACUUGGUGCUUGGACGACCUCCAAAAGAUUCUUGAAUGCAAACAUAAAUUGGGGCAACACAUCGAAGCAGUGUUCUACGGUGUGGAGCCUUCUGAUGUGAGGCACCAGAAUGGAACAUUCGGAGAAGCUUUCAGAAAACAUGAACACAGAUUCGGACAAAAAAGUGACAAAGUUAGAACAUGGAGACAUGCCUUAACACAAGUUGCCGAUUACUCUGGUUGGACCUCCAAAGAUCAGUAAGCUCACUAAUAAUCAUUGAUUUCAUCUGUUAUUGCUACAAAUUAUGUUAACUAAAUUAUUAGAACACCCUAACAAGGACGGAUCCAUAUAAACUUGUGGGCAAUUGCCCCAAUUAAAUUUUAAAAAAAGCAAAAUAAAUAUAUAUUAUAUAAAUUUAAAAUAAUAAUAAUAAUUACUAAUAAUAGUCUAAUUAUCUAAUGAAUUUCAUUUCAAAUUUAAUAGUAUGAUAGCUUCAAUUGGAUCUGUUAACUAAAUUAGUUAUAUCUUUAAAGAAGAUGAUCUUUCGCAGAAACUAGUAGCUAAACAACUUUAACAAAAUACUUAAAUUUUUAAACCAAAAUGUGUAUUAAAAGUGUAACUUGUUUAAAUAUUAGGUAAAACAAUAUUGGCAAUAUAUUAAUUUAUUAUUCCAAUACAUACCUACAUCAAUAUUUUUCAAUAAAGAACAAGUUCCCCUAAUUUGAUAAUUUAUUCUAAGAAAAAUAUUAUAAAGCUAUCAGGAUUUAUUAUUUUUUGUCAUUAAUUAGUUAUUAAUUUAAUUUUUUAAUCUAAUUUUUUUAGUUUGAUAAUCUAAUAAUAUAUUUUAUUACAUAUUUUUAAAUAAUAAUAGUCAAAAAAUAAUAAAUUAUGAUCACUCUACACAUUUCUCUUUACUCUUGUGAUUCAAAUUUAAGACAAAAAAAUAGUAUCCCCUAAGAAUUUCUCUAUAAAAUACAUGUUACAAAAGACCAAACAAGAAUUAUAUAACCUUAACAAAGUCAAGUCAACCUCCUUUGUCGUAUAGUCGUAUUAUUAAGAGGCUUUCCAAGCAGCUUCCAUUUCCGCGUUCAAGCCACAAUUAAUAUGAGUCCCCUUUCUCCCCCGUUCUUUUCAUCCAGUGUGCCCUGUAAAGCUACCUAAGCUGCUUCUACUAUUUCCUCCUCUAAACCCAAACACAAACCCUUCAAGUAGGGAUCUUAGUUCGUUACUAAUAAUACUCUUCUAUAUACAUGACUUCAACCUCUUCUUUGGUGUCUGAUAUAUUUUUAAUUUCUGGCAUUGGAUUUAUGGUUUGGACUAUUUUUGCUGUUCCCUAUUUAAUUGCCAAGAUUGUGAGAAAAUUAAUUUGGUAUUUCGAUUGUCAGACAAGUUCUUGUCCGAACCUCGUUUUUUCCCGAGAGGCAUCCACCUCUUCUUCUUCAUCAAGAUCAAGAUCAUGCAAGUAUCAUGUGUUUCUGAAUUUCAGGGGUGAAGACACUCGCUCUGCAUUCAUUAGCCAUCUCUAUGCCGCUCUCACAAGGAACGGAAUCACUACCUACAUUGAUGACAACAACCUUCGCAAAGGUGAUGUUAUUUCACAUGAACUUCUCACAGCAAUUGAAGAGUCUAUGUUUGCAAUCAUUGUUCUCUCACCAAACUAUGCUUCCUCCACUUGGUGCUUGGACGACCUCCAAAAGAUUCUUGAAUGCAAACAUAAAUUGGGGCAACACAUCGAAGCAGUGUUCUACGGUGUGGAGCCUUCUGAUGUGAGGCACCAGAAUGGAACAUUCGGAGAAGCUUUCAGAAAACAUGAACACAGAUUCGGACAAAAA
rnacentral:lncRNA from 1 species